UCGAACGCCCCUUCGGGGGAGUGGCAGACGGGUGAGUAACGCGUGGGAAUCUACCCAAUGGUACGGAAUAACGCAGGGAAACUUGUGCUAAUACCGUAUAAGCCCUUCGGGGGAAAGAUUUAUCGCCAUUGGACGAGCCCGCGUUGGAUUAGCUAGUUGGUGAGGUAAAGGCUCACCAAGGCGACGAUCCAUAGCUGGUCUGAGAGGAUGAUCAGCCACACUGGGACUGAGACACGGCCCAGACUCCUACGGGAGGCAGCAGUGGGGAAUAUUGGACAAUGGGCGAAAGCCUGAUCCAGCCAUGCCGCGUGGGUGAAGAAGGCCUUAGGGUUGUAAAUCCCUUUCAGCGGGGAAGAUAAUGACGGUACCCGCAGAAGAAGCCCCGGCUAACUCCGUGCCAGCAGCCGCGGUAAUACGGAGGGGGCUAGCGUUGUUCGGAAUUACUGGGCGUAAAGCGCACGUAGGCGGACUGUUUAGUCAGAGGUGAAAUCCCGGGGCUCAACCUCGGAAUUGCCUUUGAUACUGGCAGUCUUGAGUUCGAGAGAGGUGAGUGGAAUUCCGAGUGUAGAGGUGAAAUUCGUAGAUAUUCGGAGGAACACCAGUGGCGAAGGCGGCUCACUGGCUCGAUACUGACGC
rnacentral:rRNA from 1 species